rnacentral:rRNA from 1 species
GACGAACCGUGCAAACGUUAUUCGGAAUCAUUGGGCGUAAAGAGCGUGUAGGCGGCUCGAUAAGUCUGCUGUGAAAGUCCGGGGCUCAACCCCGGGAGGCGGGCGGAUACUGUCGGGCUAGAGUCCGGAAGAGGCGAGUGGAAUUCCUGGUGUAGCGGUGAAAUGCGCAGAUAUCAGGAGGAACACCAAUGGCGAAGGCAGCUCGCUGGGACGGUACUGACGCUGAGGCGCGAAAGCGUGGGGAGCAAACAGG